rnacentral:sRNA from 1 species
UGCAGAAGAAGAAGAC